UUCAGGCCACUAGAGUGAACCAAUGGGAAACCCUUAGCGGGUAUAAACCCCAGAAAAUUGUGUAACCAGCACUCCUGAGCCUCUUGCUGGAGCCCACUCCCACCCUGUGAAAUGUACUCCUAUUUAAAAUGAAUCUCUGGUUUGGCUGCUUGCUUGUACAUGUCCAAUUCUUUGUUCAAAAGGCAAAGAACCUGGAGAACUACUGCCAACUGUUAACACUAUUAACUACAUUUAUAGAAAAAGUGAAUCUCCUAGAUUUUGGAUGGCAAUGUGUAUAUAUACACAGGAGGAAACAAAAAAAAAACAGUACAAGAGCAGAAAGAGAAAUCAGGGUGACAGAAGCCUGA
rnacentral:lncRNA from 13 species